rnacentral:rRNA from 1 species
UAGGGAAUCUUCCACAAUGGACGCAAGUCUGAUGGAGCAACGCCGCGUGAGUGAAGAAGGUUUUCGGACCGUAAAGCUCUGUUGUUGGUGAAGAAGGAUAGAGGUAGUAACUGGCCUUUAUUUGACGGUAAUCAACCAGAAAGUCACGGCUAACUACGUGCCAGCAGCCGCGGUAAUACGUAGGUGGCAAGCGUUGUCCGGAUUUAUUGGGCGUAAAGCGAGCGCAGGCGGAAGAAUAAGUCUGAUGUGAAAGCCCUCGGCUUAACCGAGGAAUUGCAUCGGAAACUGUUUUUCUUGAGUGCAGAAGAGGAGAGUAGAACUCCAUGUGUAGCGGUGGAAUGCGUAGAUAUAUGGAAGAAUACCAGUGGCGAAGGCGGCUCUCUGGUCUGCAACUGACGCUGAGGCUCGAAAAGCAUGGGUAGCGAACAGGAUUAGAUACC